GCCGCUGUAGCACAAAGGUAGUGCAUCGCUUUCCUACUUUGAUCUCGUUAGGCGAAGGUUGUGGGUUCGAUCCCCAUCAGCGGUU